CACAGCUACAUGUCUGGUCCAGAAACCUAGCAAACUUUAUGUUGAUGUUGGUUGCUAGUUUAAUGUGUUAACUGUAAUUGAUAACUAACUCUAUACUAGUUUAGCUAACGCUAGCUAACGCUAGCUAACGCUAACGGGUUAGCUAAUCCUUUUAACACUGCCCAAACUAAGUUAGCACCAGCUAGCGUUAGCGUCAGCGCUAACGCUAGCUUACGCUAACGCUAGCUUACGCUAACGCUAGUUUAGUUUGGGCAGUGUUAGCUAACGCUAGCUUAGUUUGGGCAGUGUUUAUCUCGGGUAAAUGUUUCUAAUUCGAAAGUUUGUGUUAACACAAAACUAUAAUGUUAAACUAACAGCCUGGGCACGGAUUUAAUAUGAGUUAACCCUCUGAAGACACUAUGAUUUCAGCCAGUAUUACUGUCUUUCAGAAGCUGUAGUGGGCCUGAUAUUUAAUGUAGCAUGAAGAUAGUGCUAUCAUAUCAAACUAGGCAGACAACUUAAUGCAUUCAUUUGUGCAUUGGGUGCUGCACUAUGUUAGGAAGAGGGAUAAAUAAGGCUCCAAAGUUAGGUUAUAUUUUGUUGAGGGAGAAACCAGCAUGAGUUACUAGUAAAGCAAGGCAGGUUGAUAUGUAUUGCUUAUUUGUUUGGUACGUUUCCUAUACAGGCUGUACUCUUAAAGACAAAGUCAACCAUAAAUACUAUAUGUCUGCAAUAAGUUAGUUAACAAAAUUAUGAUAUUUCUUUUCUCUGUCUUUAUUAAAGGGAGUCAGCAUGUCUGUAAUGAGGCCACAGAGAGCUAAGAUUAAGCCUAAAGAAGAGGCAGCUUAUUUUUCAUCAUUGGGAAAGGACAAGGAUGGAUUUACUAUAAAAUAUAUUAAUUCAUUCAAAGGUCGAGGAGUGUUUAGUUGCCGCCACUUUCAGAAAGGAGACUUUCUCAUAGAAUAUCGAGGGGAAGUCUUAAGCAAAAAGGAGUAUGAGUACCGACUAAGACUGUACCAUGAUGCUCUGAUGGUUGAAUUAUACUACAAUGGGAAAAAACUAUGUGUGGAUGCAGCAAAAGAGGAUGACUCCUUUGGCAGACUUGUCAAUGAUGACAAUAUAGACCCAAACUGUUGAAGGAAAACCUCAUCUGUGUUUGUUUGCCAUCAAGGACAUCAGGCCAGGGGAGGAGAUCACAUACAACUAUGGAGACUCAGACUGGCCGUGGAGAUCAAAGAUUUCAACGGAGACAGAGGAUCACCAUGCCGUCGUGAUAUGUGACAGCCUCAAAGAUGUUGAACAGAUAUCAACUGAGGCAGAGGGUCACCAUGUGGUUGUGGCAUCUGACAGCCUCAAAGAUGUUGAAAAGAUUUCAACUGAUGUAGAGGAUCACCAUGCUGCCGUGGUAUCGGACAGACUCAAAGAUUUUGAACAGGUAUUGGAUGAGAGAGAUUCUCCUACCAUGCCUCCUCUCCUUUCUUGUCCAGACAUGACAAUUCCUGAUUGUCACUCGGACAAUAUUCAUCAAAACUGCAAACACGAUGUGGUUUCCUCAGUAGUUCCAAGCUUCGAGAAAUGUGCCGUGUGCAACGGACCCUUUUCUGCCUUGAGAUGGCUUAGUAUUAAAGCUUUGACCACCUUGAAUGAGGAACACUUUAACAAGCCAUCUACCCUGCCAUUCACAGAAGAUCUGCAAUGUCUCCAUUGACAGGCCACCUGUUGAGGAACCUCCAGGCACCUCAGACGAUAUUGACUCUUCCCUAGAAGGCACAUCUACAGUGUUCAACGAAUACAUAGACAGGGUGAACAAAGAGCAUGGCAGGACAGCAGAGGAGCAUGACCAACCUGUGUCUCCUGGAGAUUGCCCGGAGAGACAGAAUCAAAGAAGGAAACGGAAAAGGCAGUGGUUCCCAAAAGAGGUUGCCGCUAUAAUGAGACAUUUUAAAAAGCACAUUGCCAAGGGAAAACUGGCCACAAGAAUGCAGUGCAAGAACGCUGAACAUCCUGAUCUUGAUAAGCGGUCACUUCAAAACAUUAGAGUCUUUGUUAGAAAUCGGGGCAUAACUCUGAAAAAGAAAACCAGCC